AUGGCCGCGGCAAUGGAGGUCGACGCCGGCGGGGAGAAGCCGUCGGAGAAGGAGCUCUUCCUCGCCGCGGAGUCCGGGGCCGCCGGCGUCUUCUCCUCCCUCGCCCCCGCCGACCUCGCCGCAGCCCUCUCCCUCCGCAACGAGGACGGCCGCUCCCUCAUCCACGUCGCCGCCUCCUCCGCCCGCCCCGAGGCCGUCGCCGCGCUUGUGGCUGCGGGGGGCGACGCCGUGGCGAGCGCCGUGAACGGGAAGGACGAGGAAGGGUGGGCGCCCAUUCACUCGGUGGCCAGCAGCGGCAACGCCCAGAUCAUCGACAUCCUGCUCGAUCACGGUGCGAAUGUUGAUUUGACUACUGAUGCUGGCCGAACUGCUCUUCACUAUGCUGCUAGUAAAGGAAGGCUUAACAUUGCUGAAAUGCUGAUAGCUCAUCGUGCAAAUGUCAACAAGAAAGAUAAGUUUGGCUGCACACCCCUGCAUAGAGCUGCGAGUACUGGAAAUGCUGAGCUGUGUGAAUACCUGCUUGAAGAAGGCGCAGAUAUUGAUGCAGUUGACAAGCUAGGACAAUCACCUCUAAUGCAUGCCGUCAUAUGCGAGGACAGAGGGGUUGCCUUUCUGCUGAUCAGACAUGGUGCCGAUGUUGACAUUGAAGACAAGGAGGGCUACACUGUCCUUGGCCGAGCCUCUGAUAGCUUCAGGCCUGCACUGAUUGAUGCGGCCAAGGCAAUGCUCGAAGGCUGA
rnacentral:rRNA from 1 species